GCGGAGGAAAAGAAACCAACAGGGAUUGCCCUAGUAACGGCGAGUGAAGCGGCAAUAGCUCAAAUUUGAAAGCUGGCCUUUGGUCCGCAUUGUAAUUUGUAGAGGAUGCUUUUAGGCAGCCGCCGGUCUAAGUUCCUUGGAACAGGACGUCAUAGAGGGUGAGAAUCCCGUAUGUGACCGGCUCAGGCACCUUCUGUAAAGCUCCUUCGACGAGUCGAGUUGUUUGGGAAUGCAGCUCUAAAUGGGAGGUAAAUUUCUUCUAAAGCUAAAUACUGGCGAGAGACCGAUAGCGCACAAGUAGAGUGAUCGAAAGAUGAAAAGUACUUUGGAAAGAGAGUUAAAAAGCACGUGAAAUUGUUGAAAGGGAAGCGCUUGCAAUCAGACUUGGCCUCGGUUGUUCAACCGGUCUUUUGACCGGCCUAUUCAAUCGGGGGCAGGCCAGCAUCAGUUUCGGCGGCCGGAUAAAGGCCUUGGGAAUGUGGCCUCUCCUUCGGGGGAGGUGUUAUAGCCCAGGGUGUAAUACGGUCAGCUGGGACUGAGGUCCGCGCUUCGGCUAGGA
rnacentral:rRNA from 1 species